GUCGAACGAGAAAGCCCUUCGGGGUUAGUAAAGUGGCGAACGGGUGAGUAACACGUGGGCAAUCUGCCCUUCGUUGGGGGACAACCGGGGGAAACCCCGGCUAAUACCCCGUAAGCUUGUCGGGUCGCAUGGCCUGACAAGGAGAGGUAGCUUCGGCCAUCCGGCGAAGGAGGAGCCCGCGGUACAUUAGCUAGUUGGUGAGGUAACGGCUCACCAAGGCUACGAUGUAUAGCUGGUCUGAGAGGAUGAUCAGCCACACUGGGACUGAGACACGGCCCAGACUCCUACGGGAGGCAGCAGUCGGGAAUCUUGCACAAUGGGCGAAAGCCUGAUGCAGCAACACCGUGUGAGCGACGAAGGCCUUAGGGUCGUAAAGCUCUGUUUGCGAGGACGAAGGGCGAAGGGUUAAUAGCCCCUAGCCUGACGGUACUUGUACAGAAAGCCCCGGCUAACUACGUGCCAGCAGCCGCGGUAAUACGUAGGGGGCGAGCGUUGUCCGGAAUUAUUGGGCGUAAAGGGCGCGUAGGCGGCCUGGUAAGUCUGCUGUGAAACCUUGGGGCUCAGCCCCAAGCGUGCAGUGGAUACUGUCAGGCUAGAGGAUGGUAGAGGCCAGUGGAAUUCCCGGUGUAGCGGUGAAAUGCGCAGAUAUCGGGAGGAACACCAGUAGCGAAGGCGGCUGGCUGGGCCAUUCCUGACGCUGAGGCGCGAAAGCUAGGGGAGCGAACAGGAUUAGAUACCCUGGUAGUCCUAGCCGUAAACGAUGAACACUAGGUGUGGGGGGAGUCGAAUCCCUCCGUGCCGAAGCCAACGCGUUAAGUGUUCCGCCUGGGGAGUACGGCCGCAAGGCUAAAACUCAAAAGAUUGACGGGGGCCCGCACAAGCAGCGGAGCAUGUUCUUUAAUUCGACGCAACGCGAAGAACCUUACCUAGCUGACAUGUACGUGUAGCCCUCAGAACGGGGCCCUCUUCGAACCG
rnacentral:rRNA from 1 species